UGGGAAACUGGGUCUAAUACCGGAUAUGACUCCUCAUCGCAUGGUGGGGGGUGGAAAGCUUUUUGUGGUUUUGGAUGGACUCGCGGCCUAUCAGCUUGUUGGUGAGGUAAUGGCUCACCAAGGCGACGACGGGUAGCCGGCCUGAGAGGGUGACCGGCCACACUGGGACUGAGACACGGCCCAGACUCCUACGGGAGGCAGCAGUGGGGAAUAUUGCACAAUGGGCGCAAGCCUGAUGCAGCGACGCCGCGUGAGGGAUGACGGCCUUCGGGUUGUAAACCUCUUUCAGUAGGGAAGAAGCGAAAGUGACGGUACCUGCAGAAGAAGCGCCGGCUAACUACGUGCCAGCAGCCGCGGUAAUACGUAGGGCGCAAGCGUUAUCCGGAAUUAUUGGGCGUAAAGAGCUCGUAGGCGGUUUGUCGCGUCUGCCGUGAAAGUCCGGGGCUCAACUCCGGAUCUGCGGUGGGUACGGGCAGACUAGAGUGAUGUAGGGGAGACUGGAAUUCCUGGUGUAGCGGUGAAAUGCGCAGAUAUCAGGAGGAACACCGAUGGCGAAGGCAGGUCUCUGGGCAUUAACUGACGCUGAGGAGCGAAAGCAUGGGGAGCGAACAGGAUUAGAUACCCUGGUAGUCCAUGCCGUAAACGUUGGGCACUAGGUGUGGGGGACAUUCCACGUUUUCC
rnacentral:rRNA from 1 species